rnacentral:rRNA from 1 species
AUUGAACGCUGGCGGCAGGCUUAACACAUGCAAGUCGAGCGGGCGAGGUUGCUUCGGUAACUGAGCUAGCGGCGGACGGGUGAGUAAUGCUUAGGAAUCUGCCUAUUAGUGGGGGACAACAUUCCGAAAGGAAUGCUAAUACCGCAUACGCCCUACGGGGGAAAGCAGGGGAUCUUCGGACUUUGCGCUAAUAGAUGAGCCUAAGUCAGAUUAGCUAGUUGGUGGGGUAAAGGCCUACCAAGGCGACGAUCUGUAGCGGGUCUGAGAGGAUGAUCCGCCACACUGGGACUGAGACACGGCCCAGACUCCUACGGGAGGCAGCAGUGGGGAAUAUUGGACAAUGGGCGAAAGCCUGAUCCAGCCAUGCCGCGUGUGUGAAGAAGGCCUUUUGGUUGUAAAGCACUUUAAGCGAGGAGGAGGCUACUUGGAUUAAUACUCUAGGAUAGUGGACGUUACUCGCAGAAUAAGCACCGGCUAACUCUGUGCCAGCAGCCGCAGUAAAAC